UGUGAACUUCACCAGUUCACCUAAAAAAAAGAGGAUCGCUUCUGUUCUGUGAAAUAGUUGAAUUAACACCUCAACAAUAUUUUGUUGUGUGGCGCAGCGAAGAGGAGAGGAGACGUAUGAUGACGUCAGCCCGAAGAUCUUCGCAAUUCCCAUUUCUAUUGAUCAUGAUCUCUCUAUAUCUGCAAAUCUUUUCUGGCCUAGCCAACAACCCAUCAAGUGCCAAAAAUGAAAAUAAAGAUGUGAAUCAUCACGCUUCAAGAAGCUCUGUGGGGUUCAACAUAAUUAUUAUAUGCCUCGGGGUGGUGACAGUCAUUGCAUUCUGUGUUUUUCUUUUCAAGUUAUGGCAAAGGAAGAAGAGAGAAGAGCAACAUGCUCGUCUUUUGAAGCUGUUUGAGGAUGAUGAUGAACUUGAGGUGGAACUUGGUAUGCGGGAUUGACACCUUAUGGCUUAUUCAUUCACGAUACAAGAGAUGCACAACAAUUUCAUUUCAACAAGGCUAUUCUCUUUUUCCAUUCAACUUUAGUACGGGUAUUUGAAAAGUUAAAAUUAGACAUCGGCUUGUUACCAGUUUGUUCCACUCCUGGUUUAGCAGGGGAGAUUUACGGUUCAAUACCCAUCUUGUCACUCAAUGAGAACAACUAGAAUCAAGUUUAUAUUUUAUCAUUGUAUACUUGUUUGUAAAUCAUAAAUUCAUUAUACUUUGUAAGUAGAUACCAAUCAAUCAAAUUUUUAUCUAAGGUGUAUUUUCGGUGUGAGAAUCUGUUUCCACCAACACAGUGGCUCCAAAUUGUAUUUCUUAUGCACACCUUUUUUGUAGUGUUGUACAA